AGGUUGUGACAAACCUCCCUUUGGCCCCCUCUCUGCCGCCCUCAGAAAGGAUCCUUUGUGCCAGGCUCUCACGGGUGCCUCAGCACCAUGGUUUUAACUUUCACUGACACAGUCUAGAGCCAAUGGGACCCUCAUCCUACCAUGGACAGGAAGAAGGGGAACAAGCUGAGAGAAAUAGCUCAGUUAAGCCUAAAUGAAAUGCGCUGCCGUGAUUGAGAUUGCUUAGACUGGUCAACACUGGCUAACAGUAGCCUUCAACUGAUACGUCUAAAAGGACAUGGAGGAUGUGAGAGGAAGGAGUUGACAAGCAUUCCAGAUAUGAAAGCUGCAGCUUAAUAACAGGCCUGAACUGGCUGCCAUAUGCCCUCUGGACUGGAAUAUUUUGUCUGCCAGUAAAAACAAAGCAAGAUGUAGGUGAGCAUCAGCUCCUCCCUGGGUGGUUUGGAGAUAAUGUCUGAGACUGGAACAGCUGGGACCUCCCUAUGAACUCAGACAUGUCAUGUCAAAUUUAAUCCAGCAGGUGGCAUACUAGAGCGCAAUGAGGAUCUCAGCGCCUGGCUUCACUUUACACGGCUACAGUUGGUGUGACAACAAGGAAGUAAAACGAGUCCUCCAGACCUAAAUGAUCCACCAGAUGUGGGAGAGGAAUACAGCUGGAUCCAGUAUCUUCAGACAAAUUUGUUGAUCGGGGGUGGGGGGGUUCUAUCUAUUUCAUGCUGCAGUAGGAUUUUCUGAUUAGAUAUGAUUAGGUAUAUUUUCUGUAUGGAUUAUUUUUUACUUCUUGUGAGGAUGGGGUGGUUUGAACUAGAAGUAGACCGUCCUGCAAACACAGGAAAUAAAGGCAGUUAAAAACUCUAGCUUUUAAGGCAACCAUGAAACAAAUCUGAAGCUUAAGCUUAAACCCAGCCUAUGAUUUGUAGCUGGACACUCAGGCCCAGGCUUUUCAUUUAAAUCCAGCUCCAAAUAGGACGGAAGUAGAGUUAUAGGAUGAAACAUGAGUGUUAGACUGAUGGAUGUUGCUGGUAGUGUCUGAAACUUCUUAAGCAUCUAGUGAUGCAUUUACUGACUUUGGCUAAAUUGCAUUUGCUUUUAGUGAGGAAGACAUUUUUUCAGUUUUCUAUUGAAACUAAAUUGACAUUAUUUUACCAUAUUUACAGUGGACAAAUAUAGCACAAAUUUAAGAAAAUGGAACAGUAAAAAUUUUAAAUUUUUAAAUUA